rnacentral:rRNA from 1 species
ACAGAGGGUGCAAGCGUUAAUCGGAAUUACUGGGCGUAAAGCGCGCGUAGGUGGUUUGUUAAGUCAGACGUGAAAUCCCCAAGCUUAACUUGGGAACUGCGUCUGAUACUGGGUGGCUUGAGUUCGGGAGAGGAAUGUGGAAUUCCAGGUGUAGCGGUGAAAUGCGUAGAUAUCUGGAGGAACACCGGUGGCGAAGGCGGCAUUCUGGACCGAAACUGACGCUGAUGCGCGAAAGCCCGGGGAGCAAACGGGA